AGUGAACGCUGGCGGUAGGCCUAACACAUGCAAGUCGAACGGCAGCACAGUAAGAGCUUGCUCUUACGGGUGGCGAGUGGCGGACGGGUGAGGAAUACAUCGGAAUCUACUUUUUCGUGGGGGAUAACGUAGGGAAACUUACGCUAAUACUGCAUACGACCUACGGGUGAAAGCAGGGGAUCUUCGGACCUUGCGCGAUUGAAUGAGCCGAUGUCGGAUUAGCUAGUUGGCGGGGUAAAGGCCCACCAAGGCGACGAUCCGUAGCUGGUCUGAGAGGAUGAUCAGCCACACUGGAACUGAGACACGGUCCAGACUCCUACGUGAGGCAGCAGUGGGGAAUAUUGGACAAUGGGCGCAAGCCUGAUCCAGCAAUACCGCGUGGGUGAAGAAGGCCUUCGGGUUGUAAAGCCCUUUUGUUGGGAAAGAAAAGCAGCAGGUUAAUACCCCGCUGUUCUGACGGUACCCAAAGAAUAAGCACCGGCUAACUUCGUG
rnacentral:rRNA from 1 species